AAAAAAAAUAAAAUACAUCAACAGAAUUAAUACUUUGUAACAAUACUUCAAGCCCAGUACUUGACAAACAAGUUUCAGGCUCCGCUCGAGAGAUCGGUCUAAGUGUAAGCAUUAGCAUUGUGGUCAUCGUAAUAAUUACCACCAUCGGAGUGUGCGUUUAUAGAAGAAGAUAUAGGCGUAAACCCGACAAUAAGCAAGUGUCCAUUCAAAUGAACGAUUUGUAUGACGUCAGUUGCCAAAAUGAGAUGCCUAGAAAACCUGACCACACAAGUGAAAGUUAUGAGUACGCAGUUACAAGUCGGCUGCGGAAAAACGACAUUACCAAACGUGGAGUAAAAGGUAUUGAACAUGAAAUUGUUGACCUUAAUGCUUAUAGUAAAGUGAUACCAAGGACACAAAGGAACGUGAAUACGAUGGAAUUGCAGUCAAGAAAAGCAAAUAACACCGGCCUUGCUGGUGAUUCCACGGUAAUUAAAACUGAAAACGCGGUUGAAGCGAGUAAUGAGUAUGAUUUCUCUGUCACACCGGAUCCAAUCAACAUGAACAUGUAUGGUCAUCUUGGUAGCCAUGAUCAAGAUGACGCAUACGACGUCGCUUCGUGUACUCAAAAACAGCUGACGCAAGAAGGAAUGAAUGAUUACGAUAGACUAGAUAAACGUUCUUUACAAAAACAAUGAACACCGACACUUUCUACAUUUUAAUUGCAGUCUUCUUUGGUGUUUGGUAAUUUAUAUAUUUAAAACGAGACUUUAAGCUUGAACAAAACUUUUUGUGUUCUACUUUAAUGUGCAACUGUCUGAAUAAUGAUUACAUUUGAA